rnacentral:rRNA from 1 species
UCAUAUGCUUGUCUCAAAGAUUAAGCCAUGCAUGUCUAAGUACUAGCCACUUGACGGUGAAACCGCGAAUGGCUCAUUAAAUCAGUUAUGGUUCCUUAGAUCGUACCAUCCUACUUGGAUAACUGUGGUAAUUCUAGAGCUAAUACAUGCCGAUCAGCUCUGACCUUCGGGGACGAGCGCAUUUAUUAGAACAAGACCAAUACGGGCUGGAAACAGUCCGUUCCCAUUUGGUGACUCUGAAUAACCUUGAGCCGAUCGCACGGUCUCGCACCGGCGACGCAUCUUUCAAAUGUCUGCCUUAUCAACUGUCGACGGUAGGUUAUGGGCCUACCAUGGUAGUAACGGGUAACGGGGAAUCAGGGUUCGAUUCCGGAGAGGGAGCCUGAGAAACGGCUACCACAUCCAAGGAAGGCAGCAGGCACGCAAAUUACCCACUCCCGGCACGGGGAGGUAGUGACGAAAAAUAACAAUGCGGGACUCUUCCGAGGCCCCGUAAUUGGAAUGAGUACACUUUAAAUCCUUUAACGAGGACCUAUUGGAGGGCAAGUCUGGUGCCAGCAGCCGCGGUAAUUCCAGCUCCAAUAGCGUAUAUUAAAGUUGUUGCGGUUAAAAAGCUCGUAGUUGGAUCUCGGUGCCGGACCGGCGGUCCGCCUCGCCGCGGUAUUACUGCCGGCCCCGGAGCCAUCACGCCGGCCGUCCCUAGGUGCUCUUCACUGAGUGUCUUGGGUGACCGGAACGUUUACUUUGAACAAAUUAGAGUGCUCCAAGCAGGCGUGUUUCGCCCGCAUACUUCAGCAUGGAAUAAUGGAAUAGGACCUCGGUUCUAUUGCGUUGGUUUUCGGAACCCGAGGUAAUGAUUAAUAGGGACAGGCGGGGGCAUUCGUAUUGCGACGCUAGAGGUGAAAUUCUUGGACCGUCGCAAGACGAACAACUGCGAAAGCAUUUGCCAAGAAUGUUUUCAUUAAUCAAGAACGAAAGUUAGAGGUUCGAAGGCGAUCAGAUACCGCCCUAGUUCUAACCAUAAACGAUGCCAACCAG